UCCUAAUUAAGAAUAAGAGACAUAUAGAUCUUAUACAUAUUGUAAAGAAAGCAAGAGAGUCAUUCUUGAGAAGAAAAAUUACUUUGAGAAAGUAAUAGUGCAAUAUAAAACCAAGAUAGAAAAUAUUAGUACAAGAAAAUUAUUUCUUGUUCUUCUAUCUUUAAGUUGAGAUUUUUGAGAAAAAUUUCAACACAAUAUUUUCAUUCAAUUUGUUCACGAGAUUUCAUUGAUCAAGGAGUUGAUAGCAAGGACCAGUCUCGGUGUGGAUACGCAUAGAGUCUUCGCACUAUCGAAGAAAUUUAAAAAACGAGACUCUCUUCAGAAGGUACGUCUUAGAUCCGAUCUUUGACAUGUAAAUAAAUUUUUAAACACGAAAAUUUCUGCCUAUGAUUGUUUUUAUCUUCCGUUGCAUGUUUAGAACACCGAUACGCGAUCCUACAAUAUUAACCAAUCUAUGAUAUAAGAAUUGUCAGAUAUGUCAAAUAAGCAUUUUGUACAGUGAGUCCGUGACAUAAAUCAAAAUUACGAGAAAAACGAAAAUCAAUCAGAUAUUAAAUACUUACCUUUUGUCCACUCAUUUCUUUAAUUGUAGCUGGAAGUUUCUUUGAUCAUUCGGAAAAACAUCCGCCUUUUAGAUAAAUCAGAAUAAAGAAAAGGUAAAAAUGUUAGUGAUUUUAUCAUAAAUCCACAUGAUCCUAGUGAUGGACUGAGGAGAUGCCAAGAGCUACUCAAACACAAAGGGUAAAUUUUGCAGAUCCAUCAAUUUGACACUGCUUGAUUAUAUUUCCAGCAUGAAUAUUGGAAUAACUAUCUUUUUAGUAGCAUAAAUCAGAAGAAAUGCGCUAUCUGGGUUUGAAAUUCUAAUGCUUUGACUCAAGGCUCAGUGGGAUGAAAGCUGCUCCUGCAAAUAUUUAUACAUUUCAAGAAACAUUGUAUAUUUGAAAGAGGUUGUGUAAGCUUAUGGAGAUCCCGGACAGUUUUGGGGAUAUUGCUUCAUUAAACUUAUGAAAGAGGUUGUGUAAGCUUAUGUAAAUGUUUGAUCGAAAUUUGUUCUAUUCCCCUUAUUAAAAGUAAAAUAGCUGUGAUUAUGAUUAUUCUGCAAGUGGUUUCUCAGAACUUAGCGGGAACCAACAAAAACAACUCAGUAUAAUCUCAUUUAGUGGGGUCUGGAGAGGGUCUGCGUACACACUAUCCUCCCAGAACCCACUAAAUGGGAUUAUACUGGGUUGUUGUUGUUGGUUUCUCAGAACUGAUGUAUUAAUUCUUCUAAAGCUUGUGACUCUUGUGUUGUAGCUGUAAUCUCCAGUAUCUGUUGUUACAUACAACACAAAAUUUCAUCAACUUAUUGAUUGAGGAUCAGUAUCUGUUUUUUAUUUUUACAUAGUUAGACAGGAAGAUGGGAUCUAACUGAACAUUAGAUGUAACACUAUAGUUUAAC
rnacentral:lncRNA from 1 species